rnacentral:rRNA from 1 species
AUGGAAACCGGCUGUUUGGUGGCAGUUAAUCUCUGGAAUUCUCGCUACACUGGGCGGGCGGUGAUAGCACCAAUUCUCACUGAAAUUGAAGAGCUUGCUCUUAGUUUUGCUUCUUUUAGUAUUCAACAUGUACUAAGAUCAACAAACGGUCAUGCACAUCUCUGUACUAAUUAUGGUUGUACGCUUAAUGUGACCGAAAACUGGUUAGACACUAUCCCUAUCUUCCUGAUCAGUAGCUUCCUGGCUGGCUAUUCGGCGAAUGCAUUCGUUGAUUAA